rnacentral:rRNA from 1 species
UACGAAGGGGGCUAGCGUUGCUCGGAAUGACUGGGCGUAAAGGGCGCGUAGGCGGAUGGCACAGUCAGAUGUGAAAUUCCCGGGCUUAACCUGGGGGCUGCAUUUGAUACGUGUUGUCUAGAGUGAGGAAGAGGGUUGUGGAAUUCCCAGUGUAGAGGUGAAAUUCGUAGAUAUUGGGAAGAACACCGGUGGCGAAGGCGGCAACCUGGUCCUUGACUGACGCUGAGGCGCGAAAGCCAGGGGAGCGAACGGG